GACGAACGCUGGCGGCGUGCUUAACACAUGCAAGUCGUACGGUAAGGCCCUUUCGGGGGUCCACGAGUGGCGAACGGGUGAGUAACACGUGAGUAACCUGCCCACAACUUUGGGAUAACGCUAGGAAACUGGUGCUAAUACUGGAUAUGUGCUCCUGCUGCAUGGUGGGGGUUGGAAAGCUCCGGCGGUUGUGGAUGGACUCGCGGCCUAUCAGCUUGUUGGUGGGGUAGUGGCCUACCAAGGCGGCGACGGGUAGCCGGCCUGAGAGGGUGACCGGCCACAUUGGGACUGAGAUACGGCCCAGACUCCUACGGGAGGCAGCAGUGGGGAAUAUUGCACAAUGGGCGCAAGCCUGAUGCAGCAACGCCGCGUGCGGGAUGACGGCCUUCGGGUUGUAAACCGCUUUCAGCAGGGACGAAGCUUUUUGUGACGGUACCUGCGGAAGAAGCACCGGCUAACUACGUG
rnacentral:rRNA from 1 species